GNANUGGGCGAAAGCCUGAUGCAGCGACGCCGCGUGGGGGAUGAAGCUUCUCGGAGUGUAAACCCCUUUCGACCCGGACGAAUGCCCCGCAAGGGGACUGACGGUACGGGUAUAAGAAGCCCCGGCUAACUACGUGCCAGCAGCCGCGGUAAGACGUGGGGGGCCAGCGUUGCUCGGAAUUACUGGGUGUAAAGGGUUCGUAGGCGGUGUGGCAAGUCGGGAGUGAAAUCUCUGGGCUUAACUCAGAGACUGCUUCCGAAACUGCUGUGCUUGAGUGUGGGAGAGGCGCGUGGAAUUGCAGGUGUAGCGGUGAAAUGCGUAGAUAUCUGCAGGAACACCCGUGGCGAAAGCGGCGCGCUGGACCAUUACUGACGCUGAGGAACGAAAGCUAGGGGAGCAAACAGGAUUAGAUACCCUGGUAGUCCUAGCCCUAAACGAUCAGGACUUGGGGUGCCACCCGUUCGGGUGUCGUCCCGGAGCUAACGCGUUAAGUCCUGCACCUGGGGAGUACGGUCGCAAGACUGAAACUCAAAGAAAUUGACGGA
rnacentral:rRNA from 1 species